rnacentral:rRNA from 1 species
AGGACGAACGCUGGCGGCAGGCCUAACACAUGCAAGUCGAACGCCGUAGCAAUACGGAGUGGCAGACGGGUGAGUAACGCGUGGGAACAUACCCCUCGGUUCGGAAUAACUCAGGGAAACUUGAGCUAAUACCGGAUACGUCCGAGGUUUUAAUCGACCUUGGAGAAAGAUUUAUCGCCGGAGGAUUGGCCCGCGUCUGAUUAGCUUGUUGGUGAGGUAAUGGCUCACCAAGGCGACGAUCAGUAGCUGGUCUGAGAGGAUGAUCAGCCACAUUGGGACUGAGACACGGCCCAAACUCCUACGGGAGGCAGCAGUGGGGAAUAUUGGACAAUGGGCGAAAGCCUGAUCCAGCCAUGCCGCGUGAGUGAUGAAGGCCUUAGGGUUGUAAAGCUCUUUACCGGAAGAUAAUGACGGUACCGGAGAAUAAGCCCGGCUAACUUCGCGCCAGCAGCCGC